rnacentral:lncRNA from 1 species
UGAGGGGCAGGGAAAGGGUUUCUGAGCAACGCAGUGUAGCAACCCAAAUUAGCAGUGAGGGCCUUCAGGCUGCGAGCCGAGCUCUCGCAUCCGCCCAUCCUGGACUCUUCCCUAUUGUCAGCUCUGUGGCUCCUCUCUGUCUGCUGCUAUUGUGCACUUCUAUAUUUAAUGUAAGAUUUCUGUCUGCGGCAGAGGGCAUUUUCUGAGGUAAAGUUAAAUACAUGGCAAAACCUUCAGAAACAGAGCCUUGAAAACUUAAUUGCUCUAUCCUGAUUGCUUGUGUUAUUAUUCAAAAAGAUAGCUGAAUGAAGGUCAGCUCUCAAAUAGAUUUGAAUUUUGAUGGUGCUGUGAAUGAACUAUCUCCUAGUCCCAGAAAGCUGCAAAAUGAGAUCUUUGGUACUGUAGAGCAAGGCUUUGUAGAAUCCCAGUGAUGUCUGAAUCCCUGAAACUUCUGCCACAUGGAAGGACAGCUUGCAGUCACUGAGGAGUACAGCUGUAGAAGGAGCUUCUCCUGCAGCCACCUUGGGAUGAACGAUGGUGAUGCUGUCCUCCGUGCUGAUUUCCCUCUGUCCUUUCUCAUGGAGCUGUUAAGCCCUGACUGUGCUGAGUCAGGAGGUUCUUGGCUGCCCUGAUAAAUCCUCCUGUUGACAGCGGUAACCUAUUGCAGUAAGCACAACAGGAAUAACUAGGCCUGAAGUCAAGUUAGAGCAGGGACAGGCUUUAGAGACAUAAACAGACUCCUCUG